rnacentral:tRNA from 1 species
GGUGGCUCAGUGGUAGAGCGCUUGCCUUGUAUGCAUGAGUUCAUGCAUGGGUUCAAUUCCUCAGCACCA